rnacentral:rRNA from 1 species
AUACGUAGGUGGCAAGCGUUAUCCGGAUUUACUGGGCGUAAAGGGCGUGUAGGCGGUCUUGCAAGUCAGAAGUGAAAUUCCUGAGCUCAACUCGGGCGCUGCUUCUGAAACUGCAGGACUUGAGUGCUGGAGGGGAUAGCGGAAUUCCUAGUGGAGCGGUAAAAUGCGCAGAUAUUAGGAAGAACACCGGUGGCGAAGGCGGCUAUCUGGACAGUAACUGACGCUGAGGCGCGAAAGUGUGGGGAGCAAACAGGAUUAGAUACCCUGGUAGUCCACACUGUAAACGAUGAAUGCUAGGUGUAGGGGGUAUCGACCCCUUCUGUGCCGCAGUCAACACAAUAAGCAUUCCGCCUGGGGAGUACGGCCGCAAGGUUGAAACUCAAAUGAAUUGGCGGGG